rnacentral:rRNA from 1 species
UACAGAGGGUGCAAGCGUUAAUCGGAAUUACUGGGCGUAAAGCGUGCGUAGGUGGUUUGUUAAGUCAGGUGUGAAAUCCCCGGGCUCAACCUGGGAACUGCGCUUGAUACUGGCAGACUAGAGUGUGGUAGAGGGUAGUGGAAUUCCCGGUGUAGCGGUGAAAUGCGUAGAUAUCGGGAAGAACAUCAGUGGCGAAGGCGGCUACCUGGACCAACACUGACACUGAGGCGAGAACGCGUGGGGAGCAAACAGG